rnacentral:rRNA from 1 species
AUUGAACGCUGGCGGCAUGCCUUACACAUGCAAGUCGAACGGUAACGGGCCUUCGGGUGCCGACGAGUGGCGAACGGGUGAGUAAUGCAUCGGAACGUACCUUUCAGUGGGGGAUAACGGUAGCGAAAGUUACGCUAAUACCGCAUAUUCUGUGAGCAGGAAAGCAGGGGAUCGCAAGACCUUGCGCUGAUUGAGCGGCCGAUGUCAGAUUAGCUAGUUGGUGAGGUAAAGGCUCACCAAGGCGACGAUCUGUAGCGGGUCUGAGAGGAUGAUCCGCCACACUGGAACUGAGACACAGUCCAGACUCCUACGGGAGGCAGCAGUGGGGAAUUUUGGACAAUGGGGGCAACCCUGAUCCAGCCAUGCCGCGUGAGUGAAGAAGGCCUUCGGGUUGUAAAGCUCUUUCGGCCGGGAAGAAAUCGUAUGGGUUAAUACCCUGUGCGGAUGACGGUACCGGCAUAAGAAGCACCGGCUAACUACGUG